rnacentral:rRNA from 1 species
UGAUUGGGCGCUGGCGGCAGGCCUAACACGUGCAAGUCGAGCGGAUGACGGGAGCUUGCUCCUUGAUUCAGCGGCGGACUACCAGGUAUCUAAUCCUAAUCUGCCUGGUAGCUUUCGCACCUCAGUGUCAGUAUCAGUCAAUACCGUCGACGUCCUACGGGUGAAAGCAGGGGACCUUAGGGCCUUCACCGCUACACAGAGCCUAGGUCGGAUUAUACCAUUGGUGAGGUCGCCAGUCACCAAGGCGACGAUCCGUAAGUGGUCUGAGAGGAUGCUUUCACAUACUGGAACUGAGACCACCUACGCGCGCCUACGGGAGGAAUUCCGAUUGAAUAUUGGACAAUGGGCGAAAGCCUGAUCCAGCCAUGCCGCGUGUGUGAAGAAGGUCUUCGGAUUGUAAAGCACUUUAAGUUGGGAGGAAGGGCAGUAAGCUAAUACCUUG